UACGUAGGGUGCAAGCGUUAAUCGGAAUUACUGGGCGUAAAGCGUGCGUAGACGGUCAAGUAAGUCGGGUGUGAAAUCCCCGGGCUCAACCUGGGAACUGCAUCUGUGACUGCAUCGCUGGAGUGCGGCAGAGGGGGAUGGAAUUCCGCGUGUAGCAGUGAAAUGCGUAGAUAUGCGGAGGAACACCGAUGGCGAAGGCAAUCCCCUGGGCCUGCACUGACGCUCAUGCACGAAAGCGUGGGGAGCAAACAGG
rnacentral:rRNA from 1 species